rnacentral:rRNA from 1 species
UACGAAGGGGGCUAGCGUUGCUCGGAAUUACUGGGCGUAAAGCGCACGUAGGCGGCUUUCUAAGUCGGGGGGUGAAAUCCUGGAGCUCAACUCCAGAACUGCCUUUGAUACUGAGAAUCUUGAGUAUGGGAGAGGUGAGUGGAACUGCGAGUGUAGAGGUGAAAUUCGUAGAUAUUCGCAAGAACACCAGUGGCGAAGGCGGCUCACUGGCCCAUAACUGACGCUGAGGCACGAAAGCGUGGGGAGCAAACAGG